AACGAACGCUGGCGGCACGCCUAACACAUGCAAGUCGAGCGCUACCUUCGGGUGGAGCGGCGGACGGGUUAGUAACGCGUGGGAACGUACCCUUUUCUACGGAAUAGCCUCGGGAAACUGAGAGUAAUACCGUAUACGCCCUUUUGGGGAAAGAUUUAUCGGUGAAGGAUCGGCCCGCGUUAGAUUGGAUAGUUGGUGGGGUAAUGGCCUACCAAGUCUACGAUCUAUAGCUGGUUUUAGAGGAUGAUCAGCAACACUGGGACUGAGACACGGCCCAG
rnacentral:rRNA from 1 species